rnacentral:lncRNA from 1 species
UGCGAAUCUUUGCACCCAACCAUGUGGUGGCCAAGUCCCGCUUCUGGUACUUUGUGUCGCAGCUGAAGAAGAUGAAGAAGUCAUCCGGGGAAAUUGUGUACUGUGGGCAGGUGUUUGAGAAGUCACCCCUGCGUGUGAAGAACUUCGGCAUCUGGCUGCGCUAUGAUUCCCGAAGUGGCACUCACAACAUGUACCGAGAGUACCGGGACCUGACCACUGCCGGCGCGGUCACACAGUGCUGUGAGUCACCAACCCUCUGUCAACCCUUGGCACCCAACCCAAGAACUGCCGCUACUAUAGCGGCUGUUUAAACAGUGGUGCACACAGCAAAGUGCUUCGUCGCCUUUGGGGGGCUGUGCAGUGCCCUCCAGAGUGAAUCAGGAGGUUCUACAGUUCUGUGGGUGUUCUGGGUGGCUGGGGCUGACUUUCUUCUCUUUCCACAGACCGAGACAUGGGUGCCCGACACCGUGCCCGUGCGCACUCCAUCCAGAUCAUGAAGGUGGAAGAGAUUGCAGCUGGCAAGUGCCGCCGGCCAGCUGUCAAGCAGUUCCACGACUCCAAGAUCAAGUUCCCAUUGCCCCACCGUGUGUUGCGGCGCCAGCACAAACCACGCUUCACCACCAAGAGGCCAAACACCUUCUUCUAGACACAGAGACCCACUGAAUAAAAGCUUCAGACUGUC